UACAGAGGGGGCAAGCGUUAUUCGGAAUUAUUGGGCGUAAAGGGCGCGUAGGCGGCUUUGCAAGUGACGGGUGAAAUCCCUCGGCUUAACCGAGGAACUGCCUGUCAGACUGCAUGGCUUGAGACCGGGAGAGGUGAGUGGAACUGCGAGUGUAGAGGUGAAAUUCGUAGAUAUUCGCAAGAACACCAGUGGCGAAGGCGGCUCACUGGCCCGGUACUGACGCUGAGGUGCGAAAGCGUGGGGAGCAAACAGG
rnacentral:rRNA from 1 species